GGUGGGUAACUUCCGCCAGACUUUUCUGGAGAUGGCUAAUCCAGCCGUGGGAUGUGGUUUCUUCUAACAGCCAGUCAGGAAAAUCUUGCUUCUCAAACUCCUGUCUUGACCCCUUCCUGAACUUUGCCUCCUGGAUCUUGAGGUCUGCCUUCUGUGGAAGAGAAAUACUAGAAUCAAUGAACUGUGAACUAGAGCCCUGGGAUUAUCAACAGCCAGCUGAAAUUUUGAGAGCCACCUUAUAGAAAGCCUAACAGCAAAGACUGGAGAGAGGCUUCCAGCCAACAGCCAGCAAGGAAUUGAAGCCCUCAGUCCAAUAGCAGUGAGGAAUUGAAUCCUGCCAACAGCCUCGUGGAUGGGUUGCUUGCUGCCUGAAUCUAACUCCUGCUACUACUGCAAAUACCACUGCCAUGAAUAUCCUCAGCAAGACCCCCUUCCAGACCUGCAUGAACAACCGACUGCUUCAUGCUGGGCUUCAGACAUGAGAGGCUAGGAGUAGGAGGCAUGCCUUGUUCAAAGAUACCCAGUUCUCCCAGGACCAUUUGUUGAAAAGGCAGGCACCUCAUUUUACAGAAGAGGAAACUGAGGCCCAGAAAGAGAAGUGGCAUGCCCAAGGCUGUGCCAGAAGCAAAGUGUAAAAUAGAUCCUGAGCCUCCGACUCCUGGUCUUAAAUGUGGGAAAUAGUCUACAGUUUGGAAGACACCAGAGAAAAAUGCUCCACAGCUCGCCCUGGUGACUCACUACAACUUAUGGGAAGAUGUGAGAUUAUUCUGUAUUCUAAUGUAUGUUAGAAGGCACACUCCACCCAAAGCCUUCCUGUGUGUUCCUCCCUGUGAGCUCACAUCCCGUUCACCAGCUGACUGGGAAGGGAAGUCAGGACCAGCCCUGACCCCAUCACACCAUCAUAACCUCGGGAUGGCAGGGCUGGAAGGCACCUCAGACGUCAUCCUUUGCAGACUCUUCAUUUUACAGUGAGAGGCAUGACGUGUCCACAGCUGGUUAGUGCCAAAGCCUGGGACAGGCUUCACAUUGUCCAGCUCUUAGUCAGAGCACUGUUGACAAUGUCUGCCUUCACUUGGAAUUCAGCACCUGCUUUCAGUAUAAACCCCUGCAUUUCACUAAAACUGAGCAGACUGCUGGUUUAAAAAAGAGAGGUCCAUCCAGCAGGGAUGAUGCUUUUCCUCGUUGAAAGAGGACAUUCACCUAAUGGGAGACCUGGAGUCAGAAUCUUUCUGAUGUGUGACUUGGCACAGUAACACAAUGCAGGAUGCUGGUGUGUUAAUAAAAAUAAAAAUUGCAUCGCCUACCUCAGAGUCGACAACAAUGUCAAGGAGUUAAUAGUCUUGGCAACACAGAGGCCACUGGACAGAGGCAUAACCUUGCGUGGCAGCUGCACGGGAAUUGGAUUUGGCUCAGGUGUUUCAGAUGACUAAGAACAAAGGGGACCACUCUUGGUAUAGAAGUUCAUCUCGUCGGGAGCAUCUGUGGUUCUUUUAUAAGCAAUGUACAUUCUACAAUAGAGGCAGACCCAGAAAUAAUUCAGAUAUUGGAGUUAGAAGAUCAGGAUUCUAAAAAAACCAAAAGAUCCUGCCUUACUAUGCACCUAUGGCCCUUCAAAGGCGAGAGUAGAAUCUGCUAUGAUUUAGAAGCAAGCAAUAAAAAGUACACAUCAGAAUUGGAGCCUGCACAGAUGUAGAAGGAGGCAUGAAGAGGGUAUUGGAGGAUUGCCCACUAUGCAGUCUGCAUCCUGAGUCUGUGGUGAGGCUGGACACGUUCAAGCUUACAGGAGAACUGGAGAAAGCAAGCAACACAGCGGUGGAAGUGAGACCACUGAAGGUAAGCUUGGGAGGGGGUCCCGACACCACCACAUCAGUGGAUCCACAGCUAAGUGAUUGGUGGUGGCCUGGGGUUCUGCUGUUUAGCAGGGACAAGAGUGGAGGAGACAAACUGGACUCGGAACAAACUGGGAGCCUCUGCAUCCAUCCGUAACUGUCUGGCCGUGACAGUGGUUAGAGAGGAGUGGCUUCUGUGAAACUCUCACAAUCUCAAAUCUCCCACAAGUGCCUCUUUCAGCUAACUCUAAACUGGUACCAUAGAGGAAAUGGAUUCUGAAAACUUGGUCUCCAACCUUAGACAAAUUGAAUAAUUAAUAUGUCCUCUCCUGCUUCUUCUGUAACUGAAUUUGCAUUGGGAAGCAGGCCUGUCACUCUCAGACUUUGUGGUUUGAGUAGGGCUCACUUCAGCACCACCUUUUCCUCUUCUCAGCCCCACGGACUGGCAUGAGACUCAGGCCUGGCCAACUGAAUGUCACACACCUAUGACCAUCAGUUGGCUCAGAGAUGGACUCAGGACACCAUCACAGCCAAUGAAACCCUGUUAGGGAAAUUUGUCAGAACCAUACAAAGAAAUAGCUCCACUUUUCCAUAGAGAUGAGACAUAAGCCUGGACUAACUGGUGUCCAAUUUGCCAUCAAGAGAGCAUCUGAGAAGACAGAGGAAAACUGGGGAAAGCGAAGUCUAAGGAAGGUGAGUAAGGACAAGUCCAGUUGAUAUUACAUGAAUCACCUGGACCUGGAAAUCAAGGCAUUGCUGGAUUCAAGGCCAAGAAAAAUUGGAAGCUGGCUUGAAUCAGGUUCUAUCACUUGCAGUUGAAAAGGUCCAGACUAAUAUGAUAACAAAGGAGCAAGUAAGCAAGAUUCUGCCCUACAGUAAGUGCUCAAUGCAUGUCAGCUGGUAUUAUUAUUAUACAGACUUCUAUUUCUAGCCCUUUUAUUUCUACCACCUCUCUUCUGUGUUUUAUGUAAAGUGCAUAAGGAUUGUUCUGUUUGGAAACAUCAAACCAUAUAAAAUGACACCAGCAGGUCCCUUUCUGUCUGUCAGUGUCCACAAGCUCAACAACCAGGAUCAGCAGACAAAAACAGCUAAGCUGGAGUCAGUGUUUUUAUGAAGAAACAGGAAAAGAACUUACUUGGGAACUGUAGCUCAUCCUCCAAUAUUCUCCAUCCUAUCACUCUUUUCAUGACAGUUUCUUCUUGGCCCUGAAGUUGCCUUGUCAUGGCUCCCUGCCUCUGUCCUUUCUCUGUCUCACUUACAUCUUCCAAUGAGGAAUACAGCAAGACCUUUGGAUGAGGACCUCCAAAGGUCCUCAGUAUCCUUAGGACACUCGGUGCAGAACUAGAGGGACUGAGAGGAGGAGCUUUUGCAGGUUAAAUGACUAGUGAAUGGCCUUUCCUUAUAUUUCCAUUAGAAAUGGGAUUAGCUACACCUGAGAAGGAAUGACUUUGGAACAACUGAUCCCUAGCUUUCCAAAAUAUGAGAAAUUGAGAUGCAGGGAGUAGUAAGCACCUAGUUAAUGAGUCAAAGCAUAUUUAUAAAGUUCACAGGGUACAUAGCAUAUAGCAGCUGUUCUCUAUCUCAGUUGAGUUUUGACUAGGAAAUGGGCUUAGGAUAAAACACAUAGGCUUUUGAGUAAUCAUUUGUAAGAAAUUGUAGAUAGUGACCACAGUUUAAUAGCAUUAGAUAAAUUAUGAAAAGUCACUGAAAUACCUUCUCUGGAAAAUGUUAGAAGCUCAAGUACAAUGGCUUAGUUAAAGGCAGGUGGGGGAGAAACUUGAAGAAUGUGGUCCAGUACAAGAAUACCCCAUUUUUCCCCUAAGGCAAUGAAAAUGACAUGAAGUAAUCAUAGUUAUUUAUACAGGAACAAUUUAGGAGACUUAGAAUAUUCACUUCUUUUGCCUUCUAGCUGAGCAUCAAAAUUCUCUCUCUGUCUCUGCCUCUCUCUCUCUAUUUUCCACUUCUAGCUCCAACUAUUUUAAAUCCCUCCCCCAAUAGAACUCAUAACAAACAUAAAACAACAUUUGUUGUAUGUUUACAAUAGAUGUUCAAGCUAAUAUUUAUGUAGGCUUAGCCCUGGCAUUAAAUUAAGGUUUGGUUCACCAACAGGGUGCCUAGAGACUUCACCUCUAUUUCCAUGAGGGACUGAACAGCCUCUUGAGAAGGGACUCAUCAAAAUGGAAGAGUUGGCAAUAAGAAGUUUGGCUAAAUAACCAAGCACUGAAGUUGCAGAGGAGAAAGGAUUUGAAAGGCAGUACAGUGUCCAGGGGCAAGUUGGCAAUUUUUAGCAGGAGGUGAAGUGAUGCCAGCAGAGGUAACAGUGCUCAGAGGGACCAGUAGUCCCCAGGAGGAGCAGGGGAAUCCCCAGUGGAUCUGAUUUGUUCAAGAGCACAUGUGAGAUUAUCAGCUGGCGUUACAAUUUUGGAGUGGCAGUGAGAAGCAGUGAAUUUGAGGUCACUCAAUUUGCAGACCCCAAAGGGUGAAAUGUUGAGAAACAUGAGUUACACAUGUAUUUAACAGCUCUUGUGUAUUAUCACAAAUCCUAUUUCACCUCUCAUGCCCCCGAGGCUUUGGUGUCCAGUUCUCUGAAGACUUCAUCAAUCCUCAGCCAUAAAUCACCUGAGAGCAACUCACCUUGCUUCAUACUAUGAAGCUCCCUGAUGUCACAGCAUGGCAGGCCUGUGGCAACCCCUCAACACUUAUGCAUGAUCCCAAACAGCUAGAGGAUUAACACCUACGGUGUAACCCUUGACCAGCAGGAAAUGGAAAUUACUGUCUUUUUGUCCCCGCAGGUGAAUGGUUCUAAAAUGCAUUUUAUAAGCCUUCUGAAAUAGUCCCACAGGUCAAGCACCUACUUGCUCCAGUGGUGACCAACUCAAUGAUGCAUCCUUGGGUUGACUCUCCCUCCUUUCCAGUUCACUUUCCCCGCCCCUCACUCCUGCACCUCAGCAUCACAUUCCUGAAUAAACCACUCACACAUCUGUCUUAUUUCAGACUCUGUUUGGGGGAAUCCACAAUAAAAAUUUGUCAUUUUGAGUUAAACAUUGCUCUCACCUUGAAGACAUAUUUCCAUACCUAGAGAUUUCUGAAGUUCUCUCCCUUUUCCUAUCAUCUCCUUUGUGCUUUGUCUGACCUCCAUGUUACAGAGCCCCAUGAUAUUUAGAGCCAGUACUGCUAGGGAAGUAGUUCAGUUGUGUUUUAAAUGGUUCAGCAACUUGUAACAUCAACUGAGAACCAGAGGAAUACACUUGGAGGCCAAGAAAAAAAUGUUAGCUAAUAUGUACCAUACAGUAUGAUUCCUUGGGUAAGGGAAAGUAUAUGCAAGUGACAGAGGAAAAUUGAAAGUUGUAGCCCUUUUUUGGACUUUAGAUUUGGAAUUAAAGUUUCUCUUCUCUUGAAAGACCUUCUUUUUGUGGAUAAUGAUGAAUCUGAAGACCAGAACAGUGGGCCAAUUUGCCUUAGUUGAGAGUGGCAAAUAAAUGAAGAACUGAAGAACGUAUCUCUUUAACUAGUGCUCCUUUGUUGAGAAGAUACAAAACAAACAAUUGAAGGGUAUGGAUGAAGCCAUUGGCUUAUUCAUGUCUCUGUUGAUCAUAAUGAGAUUAAUAUAUAUAGGACAUUCACACAAAGAGGAUAUUGACUCGAUGGCUUACAGAUUAUUAGAGUUAGAAAUGUGACCUACUACUAAAGGAAGAAUGUUUCAGGUGUGGAUCUCUGAUUUAAAAAAUACACCACACUUGCCUCAGUGAAGCAAGUCAACUUAGGUGCUGAUACAAUGCCACUGCAGCUGUGCUGAGUUCAUGAAAUCAGAUCCCACUCUCUUCACCUACCCCUACCGUAUUCAUCCUACUUUCCGUCUGCUCUGCCCUUCCCAUUUGGUAACCUAGUCAUGAAACACCUGGCUCUGGGUCCUUCCUUCAGCAUCACUCCACGUUGUACUGCUGGCAUCGCUUUUCUUGGCACAGAACCUCUUAGGGCUGCUAUCCUAGGAGUAGGUGCUACUCAGGCUGGCUUAGUCCCAGGCUUCACUCACUUCUUGGCCCAUGGCCAGGAGGACCGGAAAGAACAAACUCUCUGCACAUCUCUGCAGGUGGCCACAGAGCCCCCAUCUGAGCCUUGCUGAUGGAGAAGAGCAUGCUGCAUCACAAGAUAACUGUGUGGCUCUGUUCAAAAACCUUGUUUAGAAGUUAUUAUUUCUUUUAUUGCAUUAGAAUUUGCCUCACUGUAGCUUUUGUGCUUCUGUCCUGGUUCAGCCUUAGAUAGCAGUGCAGCCUGGUCCAUGUGAAAGCUCUUGCAAUAGGCCUUUCUGCUAGUCAGGAGUUCUCAGACCCAUCCCUACUCUUCACUUUUCUCAAGACUAAUAUCAGACUCCUGGGCUCUUCAAGGUUUCCUCAUAUGAUAAAAGUUCUAAGCCCUCCAUUGUCCUAGUCACUGUCCUCUCUGUUCCAUCCCUGUCUGCCCUUCCAAGAUGCUGCACCUGGAGAUGAAUUUGUCCUUCCUGGGGCAAGUCACCAUGAGAUGAUUACUUUUGGAUCAUACUGAAUUUGUGGGUUAAAUAAACUCAUAGGUCUUUAUCUCAUGCACUAAAUCCAAAUUCGAUCUCUUGCCGUAAAUCAUUUUUUUGAAUAGCUGAACAAUAAGUAAAUAAUACACAAAUGAAAACUAAUCAAUAUUUGAACAUCCUCAGUAUUUUCAGCCCUAGUUUGAGCCAGACAUAGCUCAUCUUGUAUACUUCACUAAGGACACUUUAUACGAUCAAGCAAUUAAUAUUAUGAUGUCAUGUCUCGCAAGCCCCAUAGUGUCACUUCCAGUCUCUUCACCACAAAGAACGUUGAAGCCUUCGUAUUUUUUUGAAAAUCAUAUUUCUAGCUGCAGGAUGGGAUGUAAGAAAAGUUCAGAUUAGGAUUAUUCUAGGCUCCUGACUAUAACUAAAAUCCUGAUUUUUUAUGGAAAGGAAUGAGGAUCAUUCCUUCAAAUUAGAUUUUUGUGAUAAAAAGAAAAAAGUUGGUAAUCUAUUCAAAAUUGUAACAAAAAUAACUGCAUUUUUCUUUGGAAAAUAAUAGUUGAUUCCUUUUUGCUUUUUUUACUUAUGAAUUGGGGUGCAAUAGAGUUUAAUAAAAAUGAUGUGAAACACUCUUAUAAGGCUAAUUUAUCACAUUUGCUUCAAGGAAUUGUCCUUUCUAACAAAAUUGUGAAAUGGAACUGAACAGUAGCAUGAUGAGGCCUCUACCAGGAGGAGGUACAGAACAAGGCAGGAGGUCAGUGGUUAAAGGACUCCUUGCUUAUGCUCAAGAAAUGUGGACCUUAUUAGAGGUGACACAGUGAAAUCAGUCACCUGAUUUCGCAGGUGACUGUGGAGCAAGAAUGCAAAUCCACAAUAUUAGGAUGAAUGUGAGAGGAGAAGGGAAGGAGGCCAUGAGGGAAAAAAGGACAUCUAAUUGGGUCUGAAAGGAAGGGUAGAAUUUAAGUAAAGAGCACUGUGUACAUAUGGGAAUACCAUGUACUUUCUCAUGGAGAGAGGCCUUCUGACAGUCCUGCAUUGAUCCUGCUUCUUUGACCAUCCCUUGUUAGCCAGCAGGUCAUUUGGCCUCACUAGUUGCCUCAGUGCUGAGUGAUAGACUCAGCAGUCCCCAGCCUCUUUGGCACCAGGGACUGGUUUUGUGGAAGAUAAUUUUUCCAUGGAUCAGGGAGAGGAUGGUUUCAGGAGGAUUUAAGU
rnacentral:lncRNA from 1 species